ensembl:lncRNA
UGUUUCAAAGGUUGCGUAGGGGAAAAGACCAGCACAUUGGGCUCAUACAGGCCCCUCCAAGAAACAGAUGCCGACCUAGGAUGUUUCUUAGGGAAGCCAGCAGGGUAGGUGGAGCCCUGAGCAGGGAGCAAGGGAAGAAGGUCCAAGUCGGGGAGAGUCUCCUACAGGACAACUAUGAGAAAGCCUCGCCCACGCACAAAAACACAUUCCUUCCAAAACAGCCCGGGUGGCCCAGGACAAGGGUGGCCUUGGGGCUCACAGGGCGGUGGCUGGACAACAGCGGUGUGCAGGGAGUCCUGUGCCCACAGUGAGUUCUCUCAAGGAAGACCCUAGUAGCACAUCUUCGUGGCUACUGUAACACAGUGACAGAAGGGAGGGCGGAGACAUCAGAGACUGAGCUGUGCUUCUUUGUGCACCAGAAGCUUUUUUCUUCUUUUCUUUUUUUUUGAGACAAGGUCUCACUAUGUUGUUCAGUCUGGCCUCAGACUUGCGGCAAUCCUCCUGCCUCAGCAUCCCUAGUACUGGGAUUUCAGGUAUGCAUCAGCAUAGCAGUGCUUGUUAAGACUGCCCAAGUAACCCAUUUGUGGCUCGCUCUUGUAAGUCAUUUCUAACGACACAUAUUGUGUGAUGACCGUCACUUUCAAAUGUGCAGACUGGACAUCCUACAGUGAUCACCUACACAGCCAGACUUCAGGUCCUGAGCUGAGCCCCACCACGGAGGCCUGGGAGGGAAGCCCAGCCCGACUGGUUCCGUUACAUCUUUGCCUUCCUUACUAACUCUCCACCUUCAUAUUCUCUUCCCCUACAUACCACUUUUAAAGUCCAUUUCACAGACUGGUUUUGCAGAAAGCUUGCCUUAAAAGAGUGGAGACAUAUGGCAGAAAACUACUACUGUGGCUCUCUUCCUUUCCCAACUCAGUUUUGUGAUCUGUUUUAGAAGUGUGAGGCUCAAAGACAUCUAAAAACCUCACUCAUUUGUGCAGAUCCUUCCUUGUUCUGGUUCCAAUUUGAAUUGACUCAGGUUUUGCUCUCCAGAGGCUGCCCUGGCUAGAGAGGCCCUCCUCUGUCAAGCAUAUCCCACAAUGGCUGAGCCCACAGGAAACUCAGGGACCUUCUGGAAUAAGUCAGACCCUGAAGUAUCAAAGCUUACAAGAAAGAAAACUGGAGAUCAUCCAGCCUCAGCUUUCCAAAUUGAGAGGAAAGCGACAGAGAUGAAGUGACCUGAGUCACUGAGGAGCUUCUGCUUGGAGGCAUCAUCUGCUGCUGUCUGACACCAGGGUAGCUGCAGAUGGGGAAACUGAGGCACAGAGAAGUUGGACAAACUUGCCUGAGGUCAUAGAGCUAACAGAGGCAGGGCUGGGUUCUGUUCUUUCCUGCUCUUCUGGAAUGUUUACCAGGGUGGCUAAGAAAGUGGCCAUUCCCAACCAGCUGGACUGAGCCUCAGGGAAGACCAGCCUCUGGAUGACCCAGCAGUAUGCUUGCGGAGUCUUCAGACAACACAGAGGAAUACAAAGAUCCUAAAAGGGAGAAAGGACCUUUCUGUGCCACUUUCUCUGGAGUGCUCGUCCACCAAAAGAACAAAUGUCCAAAAUCCGAGGCUGCCCCUCAACUCUGCAGGUGGGGAGGGAGGGAGGGACAAUUGGAUACCAAUGCAGAAGGCUCCAGGUUUCCAGGAAGUACAAGUUUCAGAGUUCCUGCAGGUACAGAGAAAGUGAGCAGUAGCCUGCAG